AUUAUUUCAACCACUUUGCAUUUAGAGAAAAAGAGUCAGAGAGUGAUUAAGAAAUCUGCCCAAUGCUAUACUGAUAGAAGCUGGGAGAACUGGGAUUUGAGCUUACAUAGGCUAGUUCUAGCAUUUGUGAAGUUCUCGCCUAAUAAAAAUUAUCUGUAAUCAUAACCAGAGCAAGUCAUUUCUAACCUCCUGUCUAUAGACACGCGGAUACAUUUGUAAUGUUUUUGUUUGUUUGUUUUUAGCACGACAGAUCAAUUCCUGCUGGCAUUAUAGUUCUUUAACUAUCAUAGCUUCUCUGAUUUUUCAACACAUCUGUCAUCCGUAUUCUGCAGGCAUAGCCAACUCUGUCAGUGUCUCCUCAGGCAAUCAGAAUCAACAGACAGAAUGUAGGACAGAAAACUGGCUGCAAACAUGUUGGAAGGGCUGGAGGAGCGAAAGAGGGAAGAUCUGUUACCUAGAGAUAGUAACUUCCAGAAGUUACCACUAUACUAGUGCAGGAGAAGCAGAAAGGAAGAUGCUGCUACCCAGAGCCCACAGUCAUUGUGCCCCUGAUGCCGCUGGAACCCCACUGCAGCUGCUUUACAGGAAGCAGGGAAUUAGCGCUCUUGCUGAUGCUACAGGUAUCCAGGAUCCAAAAGUCAUCAGCCGCUGUCCCUGUUGCAGCCUAGGGAAACUGUCCCACUGAGGUUGUUGGGGUACCUGCUACUGCAUCUACUGUCUGAACCAUGUUGCCUGAGCAGAUGUCCAGGGCUCAGGCUUGCCUGCUGCUGUUACUGCUGCCACCAUGUUUAUCAGAGCUACUUCAAGAAGAGAAGAAAUCCUCCUCAUUUCCAGUUUUUUCCAGUGCCUCCCAUUGCUUCCCAGAAUGCCAAAUUCUCUUUGAGAGACAGCUGAAAGGAAGGUUUGGAAAAGACUCUGGUGUAAAUAAUCAUGUUAUUCAAGGAUAAUGAAUGCAGC
rnacentral:lncRNA from 1 species